AGUCAAUGGCAGGGAUUCCAUUAAUGGAGGAUCGAAAAAUGUCAUCAUCUUCAAUGACGAAGUCUCUAUCGGAAAUAACAUUACUGGACUCAGAAACAUUCCUUCCCAUAAGCUUCUCUUUCCAAGAAACUUCUUUAACUAGAGUCGUGUCGACACCAUGUUGUCCAUUGAAUCUUUUCCCACCUCUUUGUAUCUGACCUUUUUAGUGU
rnacentral:lncRNA from 1 species